AUUUCCAUAGUGUAAACAACACAUUACAUUUUCACUGUAAAAAUGCCUUACAGCUAGAAAUU
rnacentral:tRNA from 1 species